UACGGGGGGGGCAAGCGUUGUUCGGAAUUACUGGGCGUAAAGGGCUCGUAGGCGGCCAACUAAGUCAGACGUGAAAUCCCUCGGCUUAACCGGGGAACUGCGUCUGAUACUGGAUGGCUUGAGGUUGGGAGAGGGAUGCGGAAUUCCAGGUGUAGCGGUGAAAUGCGUAGAUAUCGGAAGGAACACCUGUGGCGAAAGCGGCUCACUGGACCAUUACUGACGCUGAGGCACGAAAGCUAGGGGAGCAAACAGG
rnacentral:rRNA from 1 species